rnacentral:rRNA from 1 species
UACAGAGGUCUCAAGCGUUGUUCGGAUUCAUUGGGCGUAAAGGGUGCGUAGGUGGCGGGGUAAGUCUGGUGUGAAAUCCUGGGGCUCAACCCCGGAACUGCACUGGAUACUGCUUUGCUAGAGUACUGGAGAGGGAACUGGAAUUUACGGUGUAGCAGUGAAGUGCGUAGAUAUCGUAAGGAAGACCAGUGGCGAAGGCGAGUUCCUGGACAGUUACUGACACUGAGGCACGAAGGCCAGGGGAGCAAACGGG